rnacentral:rRNA from 1 species
UACAGAGGGUGCAAACGUUGCUCGGAAUCAUUGGGCGUAAAGCGCACGUAGGCGGCCCAGCAAGCGGGGAGUGAAAGCCCUCGGCUUAACCGAGGAAGUGCUUUCCGAACUACUGGGCUUGAAUACUGGAGAGGGUCGCGGAAUUCCCGGUGUAGAGGUGAAAUUCGUAGAUAUCGGGAGGAACACCAGUGGCGAAGGCGGCGACCUGGACAGAUAUUGACGCUGAGGUGCGAAAGCGUGGGGAGCGAACGGG